ACUUCCUCCUAAUAUUCAACCUAAACCUACCAUCCAAGGGCAAGUUCUGAAUACCAACACCAAAGGGGGGGAUUCUUACAGUUUUAGUUUCAUUUCUUCAGGUCUCUGCUGUUUGCUGAUAAAAUCACUCUCAAAGCAUUUGCACAGCUCGCCUGGUAACUGUGCUCUGAUCCAGAUGUGCUCAGAAGUGUUUCAUCAGCUCCUUGAUUUACACUGGAAUUAUUCCCAAAUGCUGUUUUUUUUGGGUGGUGCCAGCAGCUCCUCCAGCAGUGGCAGUUGGCAUGAAGCCCAUGGGACGCACCACGUCCCUUGCAGUGGCUGCCAGCCCAGUGCUUUUCUGCUGCACCGCAGAUUUGCAGCAUAGUAAGGUGCAAGGUUUAAGCAAUGCUUAAGUUCCUUACAAGUAAGGUUGAAGGUAGUUUGGGGAAGAAAGAAAUGGAAGCAGCUCUACAACUCCUCCUUUGCUCCUGAGCAGCCCUUACCUGGCUGGCAUUACUGGACAAGUUCUAUGAGAGAGUUGGCUUUAGCUGCGUUAGCUCAUGUCUUCUGAGACAAAGCUCAAGAAAUCCAUGUGCUGCUUUACGCACCUGACCCAAGGAGAGACCCUCCAGCUGAUUUCUUUGCUCUCCCAGCUGCUGACUUUGCAGGCUGUUUUCCAGCCCGCUGCCCUGUGGCCUUGUGAGGGGUUGAGCAGAUCUGAAGCCCUGCGGGGCUCUCUGCCUGCAGUUUGCACAAGCAGAGCUGCCCUCUGAAUACUCCUCCCCCAGCUCCUUUGGUGCUUCUGGCCCCCUGUGUGGAGGGAGGUGGGCACCACGGAGCUCCCCUCGCAAUAGCCAGAUGGGAGGCACCUGGCACAGCUCCCUGUGCUCUGCAAACCACUUCCUCCUGCCUUUGGGAUAUCUGCUUUAAAGGUGGUAAGCUCCUGCCUGAAGCAGGUCCGGCAUUUCAGCAGUGACAGUAAAAAGUGUUGAUCUGCACGGAUGUUAGCAGCCUCGCAACUGUCUGAUGGCUUACUGAAGUAAAAAGCUUGGUCUCAGAACGGAUCCCCAUGCUUCCACCCAUCAAUCUCUUGGCUUGGUGUUCUGCAGCACAGGGAAAGAGUGUGAUCAGACACGUUUGCAGAUUGCUCCUGUGCAUUUGUACUGCAAUGGCCCCAAGAAAUUCAUAAAGGCCUCAAAAGGACUGACAGCUCUCAAAUCAGGGCAAACAUCCAUGGCUACACAGGUAGCAGUGACCACAGGAGCUGCCUGCGGUACCUGGCCACAGCACUACCACCAGAUUGCUGAAACAGCAAACUGCAGACUGUUAGCAAAAGACAAAUUCCCCCAUCAACAGAUCAUCACACAACUUCAGUUCAAAUAUAACAUAUUAACUUUUAUUGACAUAUAUUAUUAACUUAUAUUAAAUUCAAAUGUAUAUUAUAUCUCUCUAUAUAUGUCUCUCUAAAAUAUAUUCUAUCUCCCUAUAUAAGCUAUAUACGUUAUAUAUGUGCAGCAACAAGGGCCCUGUGCAAAGUUCUAAGGUUCCCCUUCCAGUUGUUCAGUCCUGGGUAUCAUUUUCUUUCUCUCAAGUUUCAUUCUUCAAUUCAGCUUUGUCCUUUUUGCGGGAGGUUGCAUCUUGGUGUCAUCUUCUUCCAUUAAUUUCCUCUUCCUCCACAUCCUCACCAUUUCCUCCAGUUUCAGUUGUUUUGCUGGAGGUUGCCCCGCAAGGUUGACAUCUUCUCGGCCUAAUUUCCUCUUCCUCACCAGCCUUACAGUUUCAUCCAGCCUUUGAUGUUUGGCUAGAGGCUGCCAAACACGUUUGCCAUGCCCUCGGCUUAAUUUCCUCUUCAGCCUCAGCCUCAUCAUCUCGUCCAGCCUGGGACAUUUUGAGGGAGGCUCCCAGUUGAGGCAGGACUUUCUUGCCUUUCUCUUGCUGGGGAGCUCAAGGACAGGCAUCCUUCACCCUCAGCAGCAGGUCGCCCAACGGCCAGCAGGCCUGAAGCGUUACUGCAUGUGUUGUGUUCCAAGAACCCAUGGCAACGGGUGGCGUGGUCUCCUGACUUCAUCACCUGCUGGCUGUGACCGUUCAACACUUCUCAGAGCAUCCCACUGCCUGCUCCUCCACUCCAAACUCCAACAGCUUCUCUAGGAGCCAAUGGGUAACGGUGCUGCAAGUGCUCCUCAGGAGCAGAUGGACAUCUGGACAGACACAAAACCAGACCACGGCAGUCUCUGCCAACCAGCCCUUGUCUGCACCUGAUCAAGGCACCGACCGAAGCAUGAGGAAAGCGCACGGCCCGCUCUGCACCGUUCCGUGCUCAUACAGGAUCUGAGGAUCUGCACUGCAUGCACAGAGGCAGUUCCACAGCACCUCCCAGCUACAGACCCCACCACGGACCUACACACACACGGACAUUCUCCACAGACAUAAGCAGCUGCUCACUGCUCACUUUAGGAUGGAGUCAGGACCUUCAGUAUGGCACACAUUAGCAUCUCCAGGAGCCGUAUGGACUGUCUACAAUUGAACUUUGAAGAUAAGGGAGGAAGAAGCUAAAAAAGGAUGGAUGAGCCUAACUGAGAAAUACCAGAGACACCACACCUGGAAGCACUGUGACUGAGCAUGCUUCUGAGACCAGGGAGGAAAGUUUAGAAUUGAUGAAGACUGACAGCCUUCCUUCCUCAACCCCCAGAUGACUACCAAGAAGCUAUCACAGAAUUUAAAAUAAACAAACAAAUAAAUAAAUAAAUUCAAA